rnacentral:tmRNA from 1 species
GGGGAUGAUCGGUUUCGACUGGGGAUGUCGAAGCAGGGGAAGCGAGCCGAGGAAGCGGCAAUGAUCUCGUUAACCAUAUGUCGCAAAAAAAUAAUCGCCAAGCCUAACAGCGAUCAUUUCGCCCUCGCUGCCUAAGUAGCGACCUGCGAAAUUGUCAGCCCGGGAGUGUUCCCGACCCGGAUCCUGGCAUAAUCUAGGGAACUAAACCAUUGAGCCCGGCCACGGGACUCAAUGGGAAAUCAAACAGUGGCUGGGCCUGUCGGCGGCUUGUCCGUGUGACUGCCGGGGCCGAGAAAAGCACAGCGGACUGCGCUCGGAGAAGCCCUGAUUCCGCACCACAGGACGCGGGUUCGAUUCCCGCCAUCUCCACUC